rnacentral:rRNA from 1 species
AGUGAACGCUGGCGGCGUGCUUAACACAUGCAAGUCGAACGAGAACGGGUUAUAGCUUGCUAUAAUUGUCAGCUAAGUGGCGCACGGGUGAGUAAUGUAUAGGUAAUAUGCCUCUUACUAAGGGAUAACAAAUGGAAACGUUUGCUAAUACCUUAUACUCCUUACUAACUAAAGUUAGUAAGGGAAAGAUUUAUUGGUAAGAGAUUAGCCUGUAUUGUAUCAGUUAGUUGGUGGGGUAAUGGCCUACCAAGACAAUGACGCAUAACUGGUUUGAGAGGAUGAUCAGUCACACUGGAACUGAGACACGGUCCAGACUCCUACGGGAGGCAGCAGUGGGGAAUAUUGCACAAUGGACGAAAGUCUGAUGCAGCAACGCCGCGUGGAGGAUGACACAUUUCGGUGCGUAAACUCCUUUUAUAUAAGAAGAUAAUGACGGUAUUAUAUGAAUAAGCACCGGCUAACUCCGUGCCAGCCGCCGCAGUAA